AAUUUGAAUAAAAUUUUGAUGUUUAUAAUGUAAGUUGUAUUUUUCUUUUGGCGAAUAUCAGAGAGACUGUCGAUGAUUUUACUCAUCGUCAAGCGUCAACUCUUCCAAAUUUGGUAGAAAAAUCAAAAAUGUCUCAAUGAAAUGAUUGAAAUCAAACAGGUAGAGUAUGAACAUGAACUAUGAAGUAACACCGGUCUCAAGUUGAAUUGCACUGCACAUCGGCGUAUUAAAACAGCAACAGCAUUCCUUCGUGUUAAAAAUGGAAAGUGUUUCAAAUAUCGCGAACCCUGUCAAUGGGAUACAGAUUAUCCAGAGUUUAAUGUAUGAGAUAGACGUAAAAAAAAGAACGAUCUCGCGAGAAUUGUAUGCUAAAUUAUUAGCAAAUUGUGCAAUGAUACAAAAUGGAAUUGCAAUGUGUAAAACAGAAGAAUUCGAUCCUUUUCAUAACACAAAGUGCCAUCGGUAUAAAUGCAUGCUUGGGGAAGAAUUCCAGAUAACCUAUAUUGAUUUUAACGAAAAACAAGGAAACUUUACGUCUAUCAUACUUCACCAUAUGGACCUAGCCAAAAACGUGCCUCAAAACGGUGCCCUUGUUGACGUUCUUGGUCUUCCCUUUCAUCUCAAAUGUGAAUCAUCUUUACGUACUCCGGACAGUAUGAUGCUCGCCAUUCGGGAUGCAAAUGAAUUAAUCUACGAAAUAGACUCAAAAUUCGGACAAAUGUAUGAAAAAGUAUUGCCCGGUUCUAAUGCUCCCUUGGCGAAUAAGAAUGCUCCGGUUGAUUGCGAUCAGGAUUUUCAGGCCGAUGAAUCUGGAAGUCAUGAAAAUGAAAAGUCUUAGCUUUGGAAUUUCACUGCUGCGUCCAUAAGAGUUAUACGGAUUAACAUUGAGUCAUUUCCUUUUCAUCAUCACUGGCAGUCUGGCAGUCUGGCACAAGAACCAAUGAAGAAGAUGAUAAUAUGUAAAAUCGUAAUUUUUUAUUGUAAUGUAACGUAAAUUAUAAAGAUAUUCCGCAGCAAUACGAUAAUUUUAUAUUGCUGAAUGUACGUAUGUGAUAAAAUAUUUUGAAACUCAUGCCAGUCAUCAAAAGCCAACUCUCGUCAUUUUCCGCCCAAAAAUUUACUCUUGUUUGAUAAAUUCACAACCAAUUUUGUACCAUGCUGGGCGAUACCUACUACAUAUAAUAGCAACAUACAAAAAUUAAAUAAAACAAAACAUCGUGCACAAAAUUAUCCCCUAAAAGGAUUAUUCAUAGGAAUCUACCCAGUAUGCAUAUUGCUUCUAUUACCUAUAGUAGGCACUUUUCGCGAUGUUUAUCUAUCGUAAAUUUUUCCUAGCAAUAAAAUGCUCCUUUCUUUGUGAAGAUUUUCGCGUGUAAAUUUUGUAAAUUAUGUUUAAAAUAAAUGUUACUUUUUCUUAACCGA